GCAAACUUGGUCAUUUAGAGGAAGUAAAAGUCGUAACAAGGUCUCCGUAGGUGAACCUGCGGAGGGAUCAUUAUCGACUUGGGCCUUUUGGCCCUCAACACAUCAAAUCUGUGGACCUAAAAUCCGUGCUUCGGCACCUAAUUUUUUGGCGCCGCUUUUAUGCAGAAGGCUGGAUAUUGUCUGAUCUUUGCAAAAGAUUUAAAACUUUCAACAAAGGAUCUCUUGGCUCUCGCAUCGAUGAAGAACGCAGC
rnacentral:misc_RNA from 1 species